rnacentral:rRNA from 1 species
GACGAACGCUGGCGGCGUGCUUAACACAUGCAAGUCGAACGGAAAGGCCCUGCUUUUGUGGGGUGCUCGAGUGGCGAACGGGUGAGUAACACGUGAGUAACCUGCCCUUGACUUUGGGAUAACUUCAGGAAACUGGGGCUAAUACCGGAUAGGAGCUCCUGCUGCAUGGUGGGGGUUGGAAAGUUUCGGCGGUUGGGGAUGGACUCGCGGCUUAUCAGCUUGUUGGUGGGGUAGUGGCUUACCAAGGCUUUGACGGGUAGCCGGCCUGAGAGGGUGACCGGCCACAUUGGGACUGAGAUACGGCCCAGACGCCUACGGGAGGCAGCAGUGGGGAGUAUUGCACAAUGGGAGGAAGCCUGAUGCAGCAACGCCGCGUGCGGGAUGACGGCCUGCGGGUUGUAAACCGCUUUCGCCUGUGACGAAGCGUGAGUGACGGUAAUGGGUAAAGAAGCACCGGCUAACUACGUG